AGCAGCCGCGGUAAUUCCAGCUCCAAUAGCGUAUAUUAAAGUUGUUGCAGUUAAAAAGCUCGUAGUUGAAUUUCGGGGUCAGUAGGUUGGUCAUGCCUUCGGUAUGUACUGGUCUCACUGAUUCCUCCUUCUUGAAGAUCCGUAAUGUCAUUAAUUUGGUGUUGCGGGGAAUCAGGACUGUUACUUUGAAAAAUUAGAGUGUUUAAAGCAGGCUAACGCUUGAAUACAUUAGCAUGGAAUAAUGAAAUAGGACGUUUGAUCCUAUUUUGUUGGUUUCUAGGAUUGACGUAAUGAUUAAUAGGGAUAGUUGGGGGCAUUAGUAUUCAAUUGUCAGAGGUGAAAUUCUUGGAUUUAUUGAAGACUAACUACUGCGAAAGCAUUUGCCAAGGAUGUUUUCAUUAAUCAAGAACGAAAGUUAGGGGAUCGAAGACGAUCAGAUACCGUCGUAGUCUUAACCAUAAACUAUGCCGACUAGGGAUCGGAUGAUGUUAAUUUUUAAUGUACUCAUUCGGCUACCG
rnacentral:rRNA from 1 species